rnacentral:lncRNA from 1 species
UCCUUUGCCAUGCCGCUGCAAGGUCAUAAAGUAGAUAAAACUUAAGUUGCAAUUCCGGUUUUCCUCAAGAUCUGAGACAUGUUAAUUGUCUUUGUUUCUCGCUCUGGUAACAUCUUCCCGCUGCACAUAUUUCCCGCCUUAAAGAGUUUAAAAGGUGAUCAAAAAAUCUAACACUGGCCACCCGCUCGGGACACCUUCCACGCUGUGGAAGCUUUGUACUGUCAUUCUGCUCAGUAAAGCCUACAGCCUUUUUUCUCUCGGUCGGGUCCACGUCUCUCUCUCUUGCCGCGGGCUGCCGCCACCCCAACCCUUUGGCGUGGCUAAGGCAACAACCUUUGGUGUUACCCUGGUUUGCAAAGAGGAAUGCCCUCUCCAAACAUGCCUAUCGAAUAAGGUCCUGUUCAUGAUGCAAAUCUCUAUGUGAUCUUCCUCCGGAAUUCUUGAGCCCAUUCCUGGAACUGUGUGAUAACUUGCCCAGAAAAUCUUCUUGUGGAAUCUGUCUUUACAUGGAAAAGACUUGGCAAUAUUUGUACAGCAACUGGAAGAAAGGUCUUUGCUGAGAUAUACAAAGAGGCAGAAUGUGUGUGGAUCACCGAUUAGACAAGGCGAAUAGGAGCAGAAUAGAAGAGGAAUGGAAUAGAACUCAAGAUGAUAAAACAUACUGUGUCCAGAAUUUAUUCCUUCCAGUGGGCUGUUGGUCUCACUGACUUUAAGAAUGAAGCUGCGGACCCUCGUG